rnacentral:rRNA from 1 species
UAAUACGUAGGGGGCAAGCGUUGUCCGGAUUUACUGGGCGUAAAGAGCGCGUAGGCGGAACGAUAAGCGGGGCCGGAAAGCCCCCGGCUCAACCGGGGAAGGGGCCGCGAACUGUCGUUCUUGAGGGGGAGAGAGGAGAGCGGAAUUCCUGGUGUAGCGGUGAAAUGCGUAGAGAUCAGGAGGAACACCCAUGGCGAAGGCAGCUCUCUGGCUUCACCCUGACGCUGAGGCGCGAAAGCGUGGGGAGCGAACGGGAUUAGAUACCCCGGUAGUCCACGCCGUAAACGAUGGUCACUAGGCGUUUGUGGUAUCGACCCCACAAGUGCCGCAGCCAACGCAAUAAGUGACCCGCCUGGGGAGUACGGCCGCAAGGUUG